UAUGUAUUUUAUCGAAAGGUUUAUCGAAAGGUUUAUCAAAUAACAAAAAAAAAAAAGAGUUAAUAAGAGUUUAUCCUUAAUUAGACCCGGCACAGCAUAUGAUUUGUCUAUUUAGCAAUAGAAAAGAAUAUAAUUCUAUGGGACAUUAAUAGUACGUGUUAGCAACUAAUUUAAUGAAAUUGAGAAAGCAAAAAGAAAAUUGCAUCUUCUUGAGAUUAUUGUUUAUUAAGAAAUAAGGAUCAUUUUAUAAUUUCAUAAUUAAAAUCACUAUAUCAAUACCAUAAUUAAACACGAAUUAUGUAAAUGAAAAAUAAGAUAAAUAAAUUUAACAAAAAAAUUAUAAAUCAAGAUUAAAUAUAAAAUAAAACAAAAAUUAUAUAAAUAAAACUCAAGAGUUGUAAUUUGGAGGUAAAUAAGUAAAUUAAUAUUGGAGUGCUAAAUUGAUAUAUUAUUUGUAAAUAAAAUAAAAGCUUACAAAUAUAACAUAAAACUUGUAAAUCAACUUAAGUGUAAAAUAAAAUAAAAUUUGUGUAAAUGAAACUUAAGACAUGUAAAUGGAAGGUAAAAUAAGUAAAUCAAUAUAAUAGUGGUAAAUUGAUGUGUUAUUGGUAAACAAAUAAGAACUUAGAGAUCUAACAUAAAAAUUGUAAAUCAAUAAUAAGUGUAAAAUAAAAUAUAAAUGGUGGAAUUGGAAGGUAAAAAAAAAGUAAUUUAACAUAUAAGUGUCAAAUUGGUGUAUCAAUGGUAAACCAAUCAAACACUUACAAAUAUAGCAUAAAAGUAAAUGAAACAUAAUCCUUGCAAAUGGAAAGUAAAAUAAGUAAAUUAAUAUAGGAAUGGUAAAUUGAUGUAUUAAUGAUAAACAAAACAAAACAUAAAACUUACAAAUCAACAUUAAGUGUAAAAUAAAACAAAAUGUAAAUAAAACAUGAGAUUUGUAAAUUGAGGGUAAAACAAGUAAAUUAACUUAAGAUUAGUAAAUUGGUGUGUUAUUGAUAAACAAAACAAAAGCUAAUAAAUAUAACAUAAAAAUUGUAGAUCAACACUAAGUGUAAAAAAAAAACAUAAAUUACGUAAAUAGAACAUAAGACUUGUAAAUAGAGGUAAAACAAGUAAAUUAACAUAAAAAUGAUAAAUUAGUGCACUAUUGGUAAACGUAAUAAAAACUGAUAAAUAUAACAUAAAAUUUGUAAAUCAACAUUAAGUAUAAAAUAAAACAUAAAUUAUGUAUAUUGAACAUUUAACUUAUAAAUAGAAGGUAA
rnacentral:lncRNA from 1 species